CGCACGAUUGAAACGGAACCAUUCCAUGAUGCCGACUUCUGUUUCUCCAACUUAUAGUCGGUCCUUAACUUCAAAUCUUCCGCCUGCUAUAAAAAAUACAACAAAACAUACGAUUUCAGCAAAUAUGGCUAUUCACAGUGAUUUAAUCAAACAAGUUCAAAGUUCGGUUUGUUCGUCUGUGGGGAGUACCAGAUCCUUACCAUUCCAACAUUAUUUUCUCGAUUGAAUUGGUUCUACAAGAUGAAAAGGACCAAGAGCCGCUACAUUUUGGGGCAAAUUAUUGAUCAAAUUGUACCUCAUCUGCCAAGCUAUUACAGCAAGCCUAUCGUUGUUGUUAUGCAGCUUAUUCACAUAAAUUGCAAGAUUUAUAUUCGGUGCGCAAUACUUGAAAUGUAUCAAAGUUUUGGAUUAAUCCAAAUUUUCCUCAAUCUGACGAUUUAAGAAAUGGUUUAAUAAAAAAAUCUUGCAUGAAUACUCAAUUCUAUUUUUUCAACCUAACUGUUUUACACUUUGUUAAAUUCAGAUUACUUUAUGUUCGGGAUAGUUUCUCUGAGAGGCUGACUCAAACCAUCUCUCAGCAAAGUUUUUGUCUUUGAUUAGUUAGCUAAGGGCGUUGUUCAAGUUAAAAUAAUUGGUGAAUUAAUGGAAUCGAUGUAAGUGAGUGAACUA